AUUAGCUAGUAGGUGGGGUAACGGCUCACCUAGGCGACGAUCCCUAGCUGGUCUGAGAGGAUGACCAGCCACACUGGAACUGAGACACGGUCCAGACUCCUACGGGAGGCAGCAGUGGGGAAUCUUCGGCAAUGGGGGCAACCCUGACCGAGCAACGCCGCGUGAGUGAAGAAGGUUUUCGGAUCGUAAAGCUCUGUUGUAAGUCAAGAACGGGUGUGAGAGUGGAAAGUUCACACUGUGACGGUAGCUUACCAGAAAGGGACGGCUAACUACGUGCCAGCAGCCGCGGUAAUACGUAGGUCCCGAGCGUUGUCCGGAUUUAUUGGGCGUAAAGCGAGCGCAGGCGGUUUGAUAAGUCUGAAGUUAAAGGCUGUGGCUCAACCAUAGUUCGCUUUGGAAACUGUCAAACUUGAGUGCAGAAGGGGAGAGUGGAAUUCCAUGUGUAGCGGUGAAAUGCGUAGAUAUAUGGAGGAACACCGGUGGCGAAAGCGGCUCUCUGGUCUGUAACUGACGCUGAGGCUCGAAAGCGUGGGGAGCGAACAGGAUUAGAUACCCUGGUAGUCCACGCCGUAAACGAUGAGUGCUAGGUGUUGGAUCCUUUCCGGGAUUCAGUGCCGCAGCUAACGCAUUAAGCACUCCGCCUGGGGAGUACGACCGCAAGGUU
rnacentral:rRNA from 1 species